AGAUUCCUCGGGUGUUCGACAAUCCUGUUAUUUUGAACCUACAAUACGAUUUCGGGAUUCCUAUAUUGUUAAGUGGAUGUCAGGCCUCCGUAUCGAGUGGAAGGCAGAAGCUUGAUUGCGGUUACCCACCUAGCUUUGGCUAGGCGUCAAAAUACAGGAAACGGCAUUUUGGGGUAUUUU
rnacentral:other from 1 species